rnacentral:rRNA from 1 species
GAUGAACGCUGGCGGCGUGCCUAAUACAUGCAAGUCGAGCGGACAGACGAGGAGCUUGCUCGUCUGACGUUAGCGGCGGACGGGUGAGUAACACGUGGAUAACCUCCCUCUAAGACUGGGAUAACUUCGGGAAACCGGAGAUAAUACCGGAUAAUAUAUUGAACCGCAUGGUUGAAUAGUGAGAGACGGUUUUGCUGUCACUUAUAGAUGGAUCCGCGCCGCAUUAGCUAGUUGGUGAGGUAACGGCUUACCAAGGCAAGGAGGCGUAGCCGACCUGAGAGGGGGGUCGCCGGCCCUGGAGGGUACACACGCACCAUGCUCCUACGGUAGGCAGCAGGAUGGUACGUUCCGCAAUGGUCGGGAGCAUGACGGAGUAAGCGCGCGCGAGUGACGGAGGGCUUCCGUGCGGGAUGCUCUCUUUUUAGUUAUGAACAAAUGUCUCCGUAGCUAGUGCGUGCGUGACGGUACUGAGUCAAAAAGCCCCGGCUAACUACGUG